GGCUACCUGGCGCAAUGGUAGCGCGUUUGGCUUCGAUCGCCGACGGCACCAGUCAUUUGACACCUGGUCGUGGGGAACCAAAAGGCUGCAGGUUCGAGUCCUGCGGUGGUCA